GGUCAGCGGUUUUUUUGCCCA
rnacentral:snRNA from 1 species